rnacentral:rRNA from 1 species
UACGUAGGGGGCAAGCGUUGUCCGGAAUUAUUGGGCGUAAAGCGCGCGCAGGCGGCUUUGUAAGUCUGGUGUUUAAACCCGAGGCUCAACCUCGGGUCGCAUCGGAAACUGCAAGGCUUGAGUGCAGAAGAGGAAAGUGGAAUUCCACGUGUAGCGGUGAAAUGCGUAGAUAUCGGGAGGAACACCUGUGGCGAAAGCGGCGCACUGGACCACAUCUGACGCUGAGGCGCGAAAGCUAGGGGAGCAAACAGG